rnacentral:ncRNA from 1 species
CGUGUGACAGGGGGAACGACGGACUGUGUUUCCUCGGGAGGUCUGAGGUAUGGCCCUGAUAAUGCGGAGCUGGAGUGCUUAACACGGGAAAAGGCUGCAUAGGCGGAUUCCUAUCUGCCACGAUGGCCAAGGGGGGUCCCCAAAAUAAGGACCUCACCUUCAGGUGUGAUUAGACACCUGACCAAAUUUCCCUGAAGCUAGGACGCUAUUUCGACAGCGUUCUACUGUCGUUACCCGUAAGCACGCUAAUUCCACGCCUGCUAUUCCAUGGGUUCAGACACUUGGACCAACCUUGGUUCGCGGGAAGUUGAGAGAAAUGUCCACGGACUGCCGAAGGCCAUUGGAGAACGAAUGACACUAUGCAAAUUUCCCGCAUAAACGCACGUCCUCCUCCCUCUUUGACAAGAGUUGAUGCUUGUAAAUGACAUUGGCUCAAAAUACACUGUUAUCUAUCCAAAUGCCUCGUCAUCUAAUUAGUGACGCGCACGAAUGGAUUAACGAGAUUCCUACUGUCCCUAUCCAGCGAAACCACAGCCAAUGGAACGGGCUUGGCAGAAUUAGCGCGGAAAGAAGACCCUGUUGAGCAUGACUCUCGUCUGUAGGACUUGUAAACUGCUCUUUUUCAUGCUCAG